rnacentral:snRNA from 1 species
GUGCUCACUUCGGCAGCACAUAUACUAAAA